rnacentral:rRNA from 1 species
UGGAGCUGAAAUCAGUCGAAGAUACCAGCUGGCUGCAACUGUUUAUUAAAAACACAGCACUGUGCAAACACGAAAGUGGACGUAUACGGUGUGACGCCUGCCCGGUGCCGGAAGGUUAAUUGAUGGGGUUAUCCGUAAGGAGAAGCUCUUGAUCGAAGCCCCGGUAAACGGCGGCCGUAACUAUAACGGUCCUAAGGUAGCGAAAUUCCUUGUCGGGUAAGUUCCGACCUGCACGAAUGGCGUAAUGAUGGCCAGGCUGUCUCCACCCGAGACUCAGUGAAAUUGAACUCGCUGUGAAGAUGCAGUGUACCCGCGGCAAGACGGAAAGACCCCGUGAACCUUUACUAUAGCUUGACACUGAACACUGGUCCUUGAUGUGUAGGAUAGGUGGGAGGCUUUGAAGUGUGGACGCCAGUCUGCAUGGAGCCAACCUUGAAAUACCACCCUUUAAUGGCUGGUGUUCUAACGUGGACCCGUGAUCCGGGUUGCGGACAGUGUCUGGUGGGUAGUUUGACUGGGGCGGUCUCCUCCUAAAGAGUAACGGAGGAGCACGAAGGUUAGCUAAUCCUGGUCGGACAUCAGGAGGUUAGUGCAAAGGCAUAAGCUAGCUUGACUGCGAGAGUGACGGCUCGAGCAGGUGCGAAAGCAGGUCUUAGUGAUCCGGUGGUUCUGAAUGGAAGGGCCAUCGCUCAACGGAUAAAAGGUACUCCGGGGAUAACAGGCUGAUACCGCCCAAGAGUUCAUAUCGACGGCGGUGUUUGGCACCUCGAUGUCGGCUCAUCACAUCCUGGGGCUGAAGUAGGUCCCAAGGGUAUGGCUGUUCGCCAUUUAAAGUGGUACGCGAGCUGGGUUUAGAACGUCGUGAGACAGUUCGGUCCCUAUCUGCCGUGGGCGCUGGAGAAUUGAGGGGGGCUGCUCCUAGUACGAGAGGACCGGAGUGGACGCAUCACUGGUGUUCGGGUUGUCAUGCCAAUGGCAUUGCCCGGUAGCUAAAUGCGGAAGAGAUAAGUGCUGAAAGCAUCUAAGCACGAAACUUGCCCCGAGAUGAGUUCUCCCUGAGACUAUAAGUCUCCUGAAGGAACGUUGAAGACGACGACGUUGAUAGGUCGGGUGUGUAAGUGUAGCGAUACAUUGAGCUAACCGAUACUAAUGAACCGUGAGGCUUAACCUUACAACGCCGAAG